UACGUAGGGGGCGAGCGUUGUCCGGAAUCACUGGGCGUAAAGGGUGCGUAGGCGGGUCUUUAAGUCAGGGGGGAAAUCCUGGAGCUCAACUCCAGAACUGCCUUUGAUACUGAAGAUCUUGAGUUCGGGAGAGGUGAGUGGAACUGCGAGUGUAGAGGUGAAAUUCGUAGAUAUUCGCAAGAACACCAGUGGCGAAGGCGGCUCGCUGGCCCGAUACUGACGCUGAGGCACGAAAGCGUGGGGAGCAAACAGG
rnacentral:rRNA from 1 species